AUGUUCAUUUUGGCAGUAUACAUACUCAAAUUAACAAUAAUCCAGAAUAGAUAUAUUAGCAUUACUACUACACAAAGAUGAUAUACAAAUUCUUCAAACAUUCCAUAUUUAG
rnacentral:snRNA from 1 species